CAGCAGCCACGGGAAUACGUAGGGUGCAAGCGUUAUCCGGAAUUAUUGGGCGUAAAGAGCUCGUAGGCGGUCUGUCGCGUCUGCUGUGAAAACUGGGGGCUCAACCCCCAGCCUGCAGUGGGUACGGGCAGACUAGAGUGCGGUAGGGGAGAUUGGAAUUCCUGGUGUAGCGGUGGAAUGCGCAGAUAUCAGGAGGAACACCGAUGGCGAAGGCAGAUCUCUGGGCCGUAACUGACGCUGAGGAGCGAAAGCAUGGGGAGCGAACAGGAUUAGAGACCCGUGUAGUCCCUGUCUCUUAUAC
rnacentral:rRNA from 1 species